GCCCGGCUAGCUCAAUCGGUAGAGCGUGAGACUCUUAAUACGAGUAAGAUGCACAUCUUCUUCAGACUCUGAACAAUCUCAAGGUUGUGGGUUCGACCCCCACGUCGGGCU